rnacentral:tRNA from 1 species
GGCAGGGUAGCCUAGUGGUUAGAGCAUUGGACUAGUAACCGCAAGGUUGUAAGUUCAAACCCCUGAGCUGACAA